GGAUCCAGACUUUGAUCCUGGCUCAGGACGAACGCUGGCGGCGCGCCUAACACAUGCAAGUCGAACGAGAGAGAGGGAGCUUGCUCCCUUGAUCGAGUGGCGAACGGGUGAGUAACGCGUGAGGAACCUGCCUCAAAGAGGGGGACAACAGUUGGAAACGACUGCUAAUACCGCAUAAGCCCACAGCUCGGCAUCGAGCAGAGGGAAAAGGAGCAAUCCGCUUUGAGAUGGCCUCGCGUCCGAUUAGCUAGUUGGUGAGGUAACGGCCCACCAAGGCGACGAUCGGUAGCCGGACUGAGAGGUUGAACGGCCACAUUGGGACUGAGACACGGCCCAGACUCCUACGGGAGGCAGCAGUGGGGAAUAUUGCACAAUGGGGGAAACCCUGAUGCAGCGACGCCGCGUGGAGGAAGAAGGUCUUCGGAUUGUAAACUCCUGUUGUUGAGGAAGAUAAUGACGGUACUCAACAAGGAAGUGACGGCUAACUACGUGCCAGCAGCCGCGGUAAAACGUAGGUCACAAGCGUUGUCCGGAAUUACUGGGUGUAAAGGGAGCGCAGGCGGGAGAACAAGUUGGAAGUGAAAUCCAUGGGCUCAACCCAUGAACUGCUUUCAAAACUGUUUUUCUUGAGUAGUGCAGAGGUAGGCGGAAUUCCCGGUGUAGCGGUGGAAUGCGUAGAUAUCGGGAGGAACACCAGUGGCGAAGGCGGCCUACUGGGCACCAACUGACGCUGAGGCUCGAAAGUGUGGGUAGCAAACAGGAUUAGAUACCCUGGUAGUCCACACCGUAAACGAUGAUUACUAGGUGUUGGAGGAUUGACCCCUUCAGUGCCGCAGUUAACACAAUAAGUAAUCCACCUGGGGAGUACGACCGCAAGGUUGCAACUCAAAGGAAUUGACGG
rnacentral:rRNA from 1 species